rnacentral:rRNA from 1 species
AUAAUGGGUCAGCGACUUAUAUUCUGUAGCAAGGUUAACCGAAUAGGGGAGCCGAAGGGAAACCGAGUCUUAACUGGGCGUUAAGUUGCAGGGUAUAGACCCGAAACCCGGUGAUCUAGCCAUGGGCAGGUUGAAGGUUGGGUAACACUAACUGGAGGACCGAACCGACUAAUGUUGAAAAAUUAGCGGAUGACUUGUGGCUGGGGGUGAAAGGCCAAUCAAACCGGGAGAUAGCUGGUUCUCCCCGAAAGCUAUUUAGGUAGCGCCUCGUGAAUUCAUCUCCGGGGGUAGAGCACUGUUUCGGCAAGGGGGUCAUCCCGACUUACCAACCCGAUGCAAACUGCGAAUACCGGAGAAUGUUAUCACGGGAGACACACGGCGGGUGCUAACGUCCGUCGUGAAGAGGGAAACAACCCAGACCGCCAGCUAAGGUCCCAAAGUCAUGGUUAAGUGGGAAACGAUGUGGGAAGGCCCAGACAGCCAGGAUGUUGGCUUAGAAGCAGCCAUCAUUUAAAGAAAGCGUAAUAGCUCACUGGUCGAGUCGGCCUGCGCGGAAGAUGUAACGGGGCUAAACCAUGCACCGAAGCUGCGGCAGCGACGCUGAUGCGUUGUUGGGUAGGGGAGCGUUCUGUAAGCCUGCGAAGGUGUGCUGUGAGGCAUGCUGGAGGUAUCAGAAGUGCGAAUGCUGACAUAAGUAACGAUAAAGCGGGUGAAAAGCCCGCUCGCCGGAAGACCAAGGGUUCCUGUCCAACGUUAAUCGGGGCAGGGUGAGUCGACCCCUAAGGCGAGGCCGAAAGGCGUAGUCGAUGGGAAACAGGUUAAUAUUCCUGUACUUGGUGUUACUGCGAAGGGGGGACGGAGAAGGCUAUGUUGGCCGGGCGACGGUUGUCCCGGUUUAAGCGUGUAGGCUGGUUUUCCAGGCAAAUCCGGAAAAUCAAGGCUGAGGCGUGAUGACGAGGCACUGCGGUGCUGAAGCAACAAAUGCCCUGCUUCCAGGAAAAGCCUCUAAGCAUCAGGUAACAUCAAAUCGUACCCCAAACCGACACAGGUGGUCAGGUAGAGAAUACCAAGGCGCUUGAGAGAACUCGGGUGAAGGAACUAGGCAAAAUGGUGCCGUAACUUCGGGAGAAGGCACGCUGAUAUGUAGGUGAAGUCCCUCGCGGAUGGAGCUGAAAUCAGUCGAAGAUACCAGCUGGCUGCAACUGUUUAUUAAAAACACAGCACUGUGCAAACACGAAAGUGGACGUAUACGGUGUGACGCCUGCCCGGUGCCGGAAGGUUAAUUGAUGGGGUUAGCGCAAGCGAAGCUCUUGAUCGAAGCCCCGGUAAACGGCGGCCGUAACUAUAACGGUCCUAAGGUAGCGAAAUUCCUUGUCGGGUAAGUUCCGACCUGCACGAAUGGCGUAAUGAUGGUCAGGCUGUCUCCACCCGAGACUCAGUGAAAUUGAACUCGCUGUGAAGAUGCAGUGUACCCGCGGCAAGACGGAAAGACCCCGUGAACCUUUACUAUAGCUUGACACUGAACAUUGAGCCUUGAUGUGUAGGAUAGGUGGGAGGCUU